rnacentral:rRNA from 1 species
AUUGAACGCUGGCGGCAUGCCUUACACAUGCAAGUCGAACGGUAACAGGUCUUCGGAUGCUGACGAGUGGCGAACGGGUGAGUAAUACAUCGGAACGUGCCUAGUAGUGGGGGAUAACUACUCGAAAGAGUGGCUAAUACCGCAUGAGAUCUACGGAUGAAAGCAGGGGAUCGCAAGACCUUGUGCUACUAGAGCGGCCGAUGGCAGAUUAGGUAGUUGGUGGGAUAAAAGCUUACCAAGCCGACGAUCUGUAGCUGGACUGAGAGGACGAUCAGCCACACUGGGACUGAGACACGGCCCAGACUCCUACGGGAGGCAGCAGUGGGGAAUUUUGGACAAUGGGCGCAAGCCUGAUCCAGCAAUGCCGCGUGCAGGAUGAAGGCCUUCGGGUUGUAAACUGCUUUUGUACGGAACGAAAAGCCCCGGGUUAAUACCCUGGGGUCAUGACGGUACCGUAAGAAUAAGCACCGGCUAACUACGUGCCAGCCGCCGCUGUAA